rnacentral:rRNA from 1 species
AGUGAACGUUGGUGGCAUGGAUUAGGCAUGCAAGUCGAGCGAGAAGUGUAGCAAUACACGGAAAGCGGCGGAAGGGAGAGUAAUACGUGGGAAUCUGCCCUUAGACCUGGGAUAGCAGCGGGAAACUGCUGGUAAUACCAGAUAAUGUCUAUGGACCAAAGGUGUGAUUCCGUCUAGGGAUGAGCCCACGUCCUAUUAGCUAGUUGGUAGGGUAAUGGCCUACCAAGGCGAUGAUGGGUAGCGGGUGUGAGAGCAUGACCCGCCUCACUGGGACUGAGACACUGCCCAGACACCUACGGGUGGCUGCAGUCGAGAAUCUUCGGCAAUGGGCGCAAGCCUGACCGAGCGAUGCCGCGUGCGGGAUGAAGGCCUUCGGGUUGUAAACCGCUGUCGAGGGGGAGCAACUUCCAUAGAGUUAUCUUUAUGGAUUGAGUGAUCCCUGGAGGAAGGACGGGCUAAGUUCGUGCCAGCCGCCGCAGUAACAC